rnacentral:tRNA from 1 species
UGGAGCGGUGACCGAGUGGCCGAAGGUGAUUCCCUGCUAAGGAAUUGUACUCCAAAAGGGUACCGGGGGUUCAAAUCCCCCCUGCUCCGA